GAUGAACGCUGGCGGCGUGCUUAACACAUGCAAGUCGAACGGAAAGGCCCAAGCUUGCUUGGGUACUCGAGUGGCGAACGGGUGAGUAACACGUGGGUGAUCUGCCCUGCACUUCGGGAUAAGCCUGGGAAACUGGGUCUAAUACCGGAUAGGACCACAUUUUGGAUGGUGUGGUGGAAAGUUUUUCGGUGUGGGAUGAGCUCGCGGCCUAUCAGCUUGUUGGUGGGGUAAUGGCCUACCAAGGCGUCGACGGGUAGCCGGCCUGAGAGGGUGUACGGCCACAUUGGGACUGAGAUACGGCCCAGACUCCGACGGGAGGCAGCAGUGGGGAAUAUUGCACAAUGGGCGCAAGCCUGAUGCAGCGACGCCGCGGGGGGGAUGACGGCCUUCGGGUUGUAAACUCCUUUCGCUAGGGACGAAGCGUUAUGUGACGGUACCUGGAGAAGAAGCACCGGCUAACUACGUG
rnacentral:rRNA from 1 species